GACGGAGGGGGCGAGCGUUGUUCGGAAUUACUGGGCGUAAAGGGCGCGCAGGCGGUCAUGCAAGUCUGGGGUAAAAGCCCACGGCUUAACCGUGGAAUUGCCUUCGAAACUGCAUGACUUGAGUACGGGAGAGGAGAGCGGAAUUCCCAGUGUAGCGGUGAAAUGCGUAGAUAUUGGGAGGAACACCAGUGGCGAAGGCGGCCCUCUGGUCCGAUACUGACGCUGAGGCGCGAAAGCUUGGGGAGCAAACGGG
rnacentral:rRNA from 1 species